rnacentral:tRNA from 1 species
UUUAAUAUGGCAGAAAAGUGCAAUAGACUUAAACCCUAUUCAUAAAGAUAAUUAUUAUUCUUUUAUUAAAA